rnacentral:rRNA from 1 species
UACGAAGGGGGCUAGCGUUGCUCGGAAUCACUGGGCGUAAAGCGCACGUAGGCGGAUUGCUAAGUCAGGGGUGAAAUCCUGGAGCUCAACUCCAGAACUGCCUUUGAUACUGGCGACCUUGAGUCCGGGAGAGGUGAGUGGAACUGCGAGUGUAGAGGUGAAAUUCGUAGAUACUCGCAAGAACACCAGUGGCGAAGGCGGCUCACUGGCCCGGUACUGACGCUGAGGUGCGAAAGCGUGGGGAGCAAACAGG